GCCGGGCGUGGUGGCGCGUGCCUGUAAUCCCAGCUACUCAGGAGACUGAGGCAGGAGACUCACUUGAGCCUGGGAGGCAGAGGUUGCAGUGAGCCAAGAUUGCGCCACUGCAUUCCAGCCUGGGCAACAGAGUGAGACCCUGUCUCAA
rnacentral:SRP_RNA from 1 species